rnacentral:rRNA from 1 species
AUACGGGGAGGGCAAGCGUUACCCGGAAUUACUGGGCUUAAAGGGGGAGUAGGCGGUCAGGCAAGUCAGGUGUGUAAUCCACCGGCUCAACCGGUGGGCUGCGCCUGAAACUGCCUGGCUAGAGGGCGCCAGAGGGGAGCGGAACUCUCGGUGUAGCGGUGAAAUGCGUAGAUAUCGGGGGGAACACCGGUGGCGAAGGCGGCUCCCUGGGGCGUCCCUGACGCUGAGUCCCGAAGGCCAGGGGAGCAAAGGGGAUUAGAAACCCCAGUAGUCC